rnacentral:ribozyme from 1 species
AUGAGGUCGGCGGGAUAGGAUUGCGCCUCCGCGAGUCGAAACGAGCCAAGUCCGAGGCAUUAGACGAAGAACAGGCUGCAGCAGUGACAGGCGCUGCCGCUUCAGUGC